rnacentral:rRNA from 1 species
CGCACGGGUGAGUAACACGUGAGUGACCUGCCUUUUAGACUGGAACAACUUACCGAAAGGUGAGCUAAUGCCGGAUGAGUUAUAUAAGUGCAUGUUUAUAUAGGAAAAGUUGGGGAGACCUGACGCUGAAAGAUGGACUCGCGUCCCAUUAGCUAGUUGGUAGGGUAAUGGCCUACCAAGGCGACGAUGGGUAGCCGGCCUGAGAGGGUGGCCGGCCACACUGGGACUGAGACACGGCCCAAACUCCUACGGAAGGCAGCAG